rnacentral:rRNA from 1 species
AAUAGAUACCCUGGUAGUCCACGCCCUAAACGAUGUCUACUAGUUGUCGGGGGGUAACUCCUUCGGUAACGCAGCUAACGCGUGAAGUAGACCGCCUGGGGAGUACGGUCGCAAGAUUAAAACUCAAAGGAAUUGACGGGGACCCGCACAAGCGGUGGAUGAUGUGGAUUAAUUCGAUGCAACGCGAAAAACCUUACCUACCCUUGACAUGCCACUAACGAAGCAGAGAUGCAUUAGGUGCCCGAAAGGGAAAGUGGACACAGGUGCUGCAUGGCUGUCGUCAGCUCGUGUCGUGAGAUGUUGGGUUAAGUCCCGCAACGAGCGCAACCCUUGCCAAUAGUUGCUACGAAAGGGCACUCUAUUGGGACUGCCGGUGACAAACCGGAGGAAGGUGGGGAUGACGUCAAGUCCUCAUGGCCCUUAUGGGUAGGGCUUCACACGUCAUACAAUGGCUGGUACAGAGGGUUGCCAACCCGCGAGGGGGAGCCAACCCCACAAAACCAGUCGUAGUCCGGAUUGCAGUCUGCAACUCGACUGCA